AUUUUUAAACUGUCACCGACUCUAUAUCUCUCUCACUCUUUUUCUUUUUUUUUUUAAUUUUUAAUUUUUUCUAAAAUUGUAUUCACUGUCUCACUACUGUUUCAGAUGAGAUGAGAUGAGAUGAGAAAUAGAGAAAGUCACGCAACAACCUUCACCAUGCUACAGUUCGCCGUUCGUCGUUCGUCGUUGUGAAUCGCGUUGGACGUUCACCGUUCGUUGUUCACCGUUCACCGUUCGCUGUCCCCCGCGUCGUCCUUUCUCUUCCCCUCUAGUGCAAACCUUAAUUCCUCAUCCAUCGACAUUUUUUCUCUUCCAACCUCAAUACUAAACACUGAUGACUGAGCUCAAAGUGGUUUGAAAUGAAAGCUGAAUGAUGUCUUGUAGGAGUCUAUUGUGCUUUUCUUCUUGCUUGCUAUGACUACAAUAACGAAGAACUUCAAAGUAUUUGUAAGAUUGGAACGGGAUUUACUGAAGACGUGCUCGAAGCGCGUUUUAAAAGUCUUGGUUCUCAAGUGAUUCCUGAGCCAAAGUCAUACUAUCGAUAUGGAAAUACAAUGAAGCCUGAUGUCUGGCUUGAAACUAGUGAGGUUGAAGCAAUGUUUAUCUGUGUUCUUUGAGCACUACCUAUGUCUCUGUGCUAAUCAUAAGGCAAGCAUAGUGACAAAUCAUAUCUUUGGUGCUGUAAAUUAAAUAUCAUUCUUUAUUUUUUGCUUAACUUUUAAAUGUUGUGACUAAUGCCCUGGUUAUUGUUUCAAUAAUGCAGAGUUGCAUAUCCAAGGCUUUCAUUCCAGUAAUGCAUUCAAUGUGGCCAGGAAUUUUUGGGAUUUCAGAAUGAUCUCCUUUUAUGGUGUCCCAGAUGCGUAAGCGUGCAGUUCAAGCUUCACGUUUUAUGCUGUAGAUGAUGCAGGCUCCCUUAUAUAUUAAAGAGACUCAACCAGAGAGUGAAAAUGGAAGUACAGAAAUGCCACAAGUCAUUGAUAGUUAUGUAGAGGUUCUAUGUGAUUGUAGUGAGGAGGGUCUUGCACUACGCAUUGCCAAGUAUAUAACUAAGAAGUGUAUAUAAUAUAGAAUAAUCCUUGGUUGCUUCUUGAAUCUUGAUCAGGGUAGUUGGAAACCAUCUUUUGUUUGUUAUUGGUCUAAGCUUUACUAAUCCAUCAUAUGAUGCUGCCU